UUUGGCCUCUGACUGGUGUCUCCAUGGCAACGGAAGCUGAGGCUCCUGGGUAUUGUAGUCAUCUACUGCUUGGAACCAGCUAAAUCAAGAUUUCUGAUCAUGAUUGUCAUGAUUGUGACAUUAUCAGUGAUGGUCCUGUGUUUCUGCGUUUGGCAACGCUGAGGUGAAGUGACAAAAAAAUAUUUUAUGGGAAAACAAGAACAAAAAAAAAACAAAAAAAAAAAAAACACACCUGGAACCAUCUACCAAGAAAUAACUGAACAAUAUUUUUAGGGAUUAGAAAUGUUAUGCAUUUGUUGAGAUGAACAUUAAAAGGAGCAAAAUCAACUGAAAUUUUUAAACGUUUAAGACAUAUGGUCUCUCUUCAGGACAGGACCUCAAGAUUACAUAACAGAGAGAAAGUAAUCUUCAUGGUGCCUGAAGGGGCCCCUCAGGGUCUGGGGCCCCGGCCACAGCUGUCCGCCUUCUCUGCUGAUGUUGAUGUGACCCACUACAGUAGACCUCAACAUUCCUGGCCCGACUAAACGGGCGGGAUCAUGUGACUACAAGUCUUUGGUUGAAAUAUAACUCUAGGCUUUUUUUUGCUUGUCUCAUCCCACAUCCCUGCUCAGUAAAAGUACAGGAAAGGAGAGGGAACAUUCUCUAUAAUGCUUUCUUGUCAUUUUGACAAACAAACAAUGGGUGAUUUUACUUUUAUGGGACUAAAACAGUUAUCUAAAGAGGUGUGUUAUGCAAGAUCUGGCCAUCUGUCAAAUGCAUACCCAGCAAAUCACCAGAGUAGCUGCUAACUGUAGCUGCCUUAGCUAGUUAGCUCAGUAUCCAUGCAGUAGUGGUUCAGACUGGGAGAGUCAGUUUCCAGUAAAGUGCAAGAACUCCCCCAAAAAAGAUGCACUCAAGUAAACCUCAUUACUAACACUGAAUUCUGCUGUUGUCAUAUUUAUUUUUUGUACUCCUUUAAUGGAAAUAAAUGACAUUAUGUGUCAUUUUUUUCGUUCCUGUGUUACAUAAAACUGACUCUGAAUCAGUUUUGUUAAAAGAACUCAAAAGUCACACUCAAAGUACACUUUAAUGUAAAUUAUACUCAUAUUUACAUGUGUGUUUUGACUGAAUGAUCAUGAUUUGAUCUGAUAGUCAGCAGUUUUACAAUAUUUAAAUCCGAGGAAAUAUAAUUCAAAAAACAAAAUGUGUCCACACAUUGAUGAAGUGGAGAAAAAAGUACCGUAUUUGCCUUGGAAAGGAAGUGAAAGUGUCAAGUAGAGGAAAUUGUAAAUAGGCAAGUAAGUACAAAAGUAGGCUACAGCACUUUGAGUAAAUGUACUUAGUAACAGAGAGAAUCCAUUCACUGCUGAAGGUGUGGCAACAAUGCAGGGGGGUGGACACAAUAAUCUGAACAGCUGCACAAUUCAAUCAGUGCAGCUGAAGUUUUACAUACAUGCUUCAUAAAGCCGAGUGUUGCACUGAGAAAUACCCCUCUGGUGCAGCUGGGGUCUCCUCCCCUUUCCUUCCUCUCUUCCGUUCACGGUUCAACAUCAGCAGUUUUCACGCCAACAAUAUUUUACUACGGUUUUAAUGUUUUUACAACAACCACAAACCACCUGACUGACCGACUGAGCCACGUCUCUAAAUAAAAAACACUCCCAGAGGAGACUGCGCAACACUGAAAAUAUGACUGGUAAUCCGGUCUGACGGCUCCACGGUGCGUGUAAAACCGCCAAAGCUCUGGAGAAAACUCGUCUGUUCCGCAGGGACUGGGAGCACAGGCCGAUCUUGGGGAUCAUCGUUGCGUGCAGCUUGCAGACCACCUCGCCCCUCAGCGCCGAAAGUUGAGAGCUGACUGUCUGUCGUCGGGUCCGGGUCAGAACACAGGGAGAAGGGGGUGGGUGGAAGUCUUCAGACCUGCAGUGACAGUGAAAAGUGACAGUGAACAGGAAAUUCCUCCUCGCCUGCCGGAGAGCUUGUGUGACUGCUGCUGCUGCUGCUUCCUCGGACCUUGAUCCGUCAGCACUGUUCACACAGUCCUGCUGGUGGACUGCUGGGCUGCAGGGAAACUCUGCAGAGAGAGCAGAGAUCCCUCCUGUCCUUCACUUUAAUCACGCUUAAGACAAUUUAAAUACUUCUGCCUGGAUCAUUCAGCCAUUCAGCUGGAGCCACCAGCUGGUGUCUGUGUUGUUGUUGAUGAGCAGACCACACCAGGGUCACAUGACGUUAAAGGUCACCACCACUAAGAGUCUUAAUACACAGUUACUGUAUAAGCUGUCUCCAAAGUGAUCAGCGUACAAAUUGUGAAGCUAAAGUUCAAUAGUUUGUGACUAAAGUCGGCCUGUAAAGACGGAUGAGUGAGUCUCUGUUGGCUGUGAUGACGUUUAAUGUCCGCGACAUUUGUUAGCAACCGCUGUUUUUAACACAUAUUAUGAGCUUUAUAAUUAAAUUGUGGAACAUGUAA